rnacentral:rRNA from 1 species
UGAGGGAAUAUUUGGGUCAAUGGGCGCGAGCCUGAACCAGCCAAGUCGCGUGAGGGAUGACGGUUCUAUGGAUCGUAAACCUCUUUUAUAAGGGAAUAAAGUUCGGGACGUGUCCCGUUUUGUAUGUACCUUAUGAAUAAGGAUCGGCUAACUCCGUGCCAGCAGCCGCGGUAAUACGGAGGAUCCGAGCGUUAUCCGGAUUUAUUGGGUUUAAAGGGAGCGUAGGCGGCAGGUUAAGUCAGUUGUGAAAGUUUGCGGCUCAACCGUAAAAUUGCAGUUGAUACUGGCCUGCUUGAGUGCGGCAGAGGCAGGCGGAAUUUGUGGUGUAGAACGGUGAAAUGCUUGGAUAUCACGAAGAACUCCGAUUGCGAAGGCAGCUUGCUGGAGCGUAACUGACGCUGAUGCUCGAAAGUG